AUUGAACGCUGGCGGCAGGCCUAACACAUGCAAGUCGAGCGAGCGGCGGAAGGGUGAGUAAUGACUGGGAAUUGCUCAGACGAGGGGGAUAACAGUUGGAAACGACUGCUAAUACCUCAUACGACUGGAUUGAUCAGGUGGGAGUAGCUAGUUGGUGGGGUAAUGGCUCACCAAGGCGACGCUCCCUAGCUGGUCUGAGAGUAUGGGCCGCCACACUGGAACUGAGACAAGGUCCAGACUCCUACGGGAGGCAGCAGUGGGGAAUAUUGCGCAAUGGGGGAAACCCUGAUACAGCCAUGCCGCGUGUGUGAAGAAGGCCUUCGGGUUGUAAAGCACUUUCAGCGAGGAGGCGUUACUCGCAGAAGAAGCACCGGCUAACUCCGUGCCAGCAGCCGCGGUAAUUC
rnacentral:rRNA from 1 species